AGCGAACGCUGGCGGCGUGCUUAACACAUGCAAGUCGAGUGCGCGUUUCGUAGCAAAUACGGGAUGGCGCACGGCGCACGGGUGAGGAACACGUGGGCAACAUGCCCUCUGAUGGGGAAUAACCCCGCGAAAGCGGGGCUAAUACCGCAUAAGAUUCCGGGGACCUCGGUACCCUGGACUGAAAGCCCGCAAGGGCGUCGGAGGAGUGGCCCGCGGCCGAUUAGCUUGUUGGCGGGGAACGCCCACCAAGGCAAUGAUCGGUAGCCGGUCUGAGAGGAUGAUCGGCCACACUGGAACUGAGACACGGUCCAGACUCCUACGGGAGGCAGCAGUGGGGAAUCUUGCGCAAUGGGCGAAAGCCUGACGCAGCGACGCCGCGUGGGGAUGAAGCCUUUCGGGGCGUAAACCCCUUUCGAACCCGGACGAAUAGCCCGCAAGGGAAUUGAACGGUACGGGUAUAAGAAG
rnacentral:rRNA from 1 species